GACGAACGCUGGCGGCGUGCUUAACACAUGCCAGUCGAACGGAAAGGCCCUGCUUUUGUGGGGUGCUCGAGUGGCGAACGGGUGAGUAACACGUGAGUAACCUGCCCUUGACUUUGGGAUAACUUCAGGAAACUGGGGCUAAUACCGGAUAGGAGCUCCUGCUGCAUGGUGGGGGUUGGAAAGUUUCGGCGGUUGGGGAUGGACUCGCGGCUUAUCAGCUUGUUGGUGGGGUAGUGGCUUACCAAGGCUUUGACGGGUAGCCGGCCUGAGAGGGUGACCGGCCACAUUGGGACUGAGAUACGGCCCAGACUCCUACGGGAGGCAGCAGGGGGGAAUAUUGCACAAUGGGCGGAAGCCUGAUGCAGCAACGCCGCGUGCGGGAUGACGGCCUUCGGGUUGUAAACCGCUUUCGCCUGUGACGAAGCGAGAGUGACGGUAAUGGGUAAAGAAGCACCGGCUAACUACGUG
rnacentral:rRNA from 1 species